rnacentral:rRNA from 1 species
AUUGAACGCUGGCGGCAUGCCUUACACAUGCAAGUCGAACGGUAACAGGUCUUCGGAUGCUGACGAGUGGCGAACGGGUGAGUAAUACAUCGGAACGUGCCCGAUCGUGGGGGAUAACGAAGCGAAAGCUUUGCUAAUACCGCAUACGAUCUACGGAUGAAAGCAGGGGACCGCAAGGCCUUGCGCGAACGGAGCGGCCGAUGGCAGAUUAGGUAGUUGGGGGGAUAAAAGCUUACCAAGCCGACGAUCUGUAGCUGGUCUGAGAGGACGACCAGCCACACGGGGACGGAGCCGCGACACAGACUCUUAGGGGGGGCAGGAGUGGGGGAUUUUGGACUAUGGGCGAAAGCUGUAUCCCGCUGUGCGGGGGGCAGGAUAAAGGCCUUCGGUUUGAAAGCUGCUUUUGCACGGAAAGAAAAGACUCUGGUUAAUACCUGGGGUCGAUGACGGUACCGUAAGAAUAAGCACCGGCUAUCUACGUGCCAGCCGCCGCAGUAAUAC